CCUACGGGGGGCAGCAGUGGGGAAUUUUGCGCAAUGGGGGCAACCCUGACGCGGCAACGCCGCGUGAGUGAUGAAGGCCUUCGGGUCGUAAAGCUCUGUCAGAGGGGAAGAAAUGCAGGUGGUGAACAACCAUUCUGUUUGACGGUACCCUCAAAGGAAGCACCGGCUAACUCCGUGCCAGCAGCCGCGGUAAUACGGAGGGUGCGAGCGUUGUUCGGAAUUAUUGGGCGUAAAGCGCGUGUAGGCGGUUUGUUAAGUCGAAUGUAAAAGCCCCGGGCUCAACCUGGAAAGUGCAUUGGAUACUGGCAGACUUGAGGACGGAAGAGGAGAGUGAAAUCCCCAGUGUAGGAGUGAAAUCCGUAGAUAUUGGGAGGAACACCGGUGGCGAGGGCGGCUCUCGGGACAGAUACU
rnacentral:rRNA from 1 species